AGCGAACGCUGGCGGCAGGCCUAACACAUGCAAGUCGAACGGAUCCUUCGGGAUUAGUGGCGGACGGGUGAGUAACACGUGGGAACGUGCCCUUUGGUUCGGAACAACUCAGGGAAACUUGAGCUAAUACCGGAUGUGCCCUUCGGGGGAAAGAUUUAUCGCCAGUGGAGCGGCCCGCGUCUGAUUAGCUAGUUGGUGAGGUAAAGGCUCACACAGGAGACGAUCAGUAGCUGGUCUGAGAGGAUGAUCAGCCACAUUGGGACUCAGACACGGCCCAAACUCCUACGGGAGGCAGCAGUGGGGAAUCUUGCGCAAUGUGCGAACGCCUGACGCAGCCAUGCCGCGUGAAUGAUGAAGGUCUUAGGAUUGUAAAAUUCUUUCACCGGGGACGAUAAUGACGGUACCCGGAGAAGAAGCCCCGGCUAACUUCGUGCCAGCCGCCGCGGUAAUAC
rnacentral:rRNA from 1 species